GUACUUACCUGGCAGGGGAGACACCAUGAUCAGGCAGGUGGUUUUCCCAGAGUGAGGCUCAUCCCCUGCACUCACCUGAACAUGUUCCUAUGCGACCUGAUCUAGGUGGACCUGCUUCUGCAGG
rnacentral:snRNA from 10 species